rnacentral:rRNA from 1 species
AUUGAACGCUGGCGGCAUGCUUUACACAUGCAGGUCGAACGGCAGCGCGGGCUUCGGCCUGGCGGCGAGUGGCGAACGGGUGAGUAAUGCAUCGGAACGUGCCCAGUAGUGGGGGAUAGCCCGGCGAAAGCCGGAUUAAUACCGCAUACGACCUGAGGGUGAAAGCGGGGGACCGAAAGGCCUCGCGCUAUUGGAGCGGCCGAUGUCGGAUUAGCUAGUUGGUGGGGUAAAGGCUUACCAAGGCGACGAUCCGUAGCUGGUCUGAGAAGACGACCAGCCACACUGGGACUGAGACACGGCCCAGACUCCUACGGGAGGCAGCAGUGGGGAAUUUUGGACAAUGGGGGCAACCCUGAUCCAGCCAUGCCGCGUGCGGGAAGAAGGCCUUCGGGUUGUAAACCGCUUUUGUUCGGGAAGAAAUCCUCUGGGCUAAUACCCCGGGGGGAUGACGGUACCGGAAGAAUAAGCACCGGCUAACUACGUG